UUACCCCAAAUCAGCAUUUUACUUUCUGGCCAUGACCUCCCUCCUUCGCAUAGGACAUAUAUGACUUCGCCUUCCCCAGGACAUUGCCCACCGCCCUCCCUGAACCCCUGUCCCUCUCUGCUCUCUGCCCCCUGCCCCCGUGCCAAGCUCAGUACAGCCCUAAAGCCACUGACGACUCAGAAGCGCCAACUAGCAGGGCCCUGAACACCCCCCAGAGCCGCUCAUGGUUUCUCAACUUCUGGUUCUUCUCUUUUCCCUCAAAUUCUACACCUUCCUCUUCCUCCAAGUAAAUGACCCUCCUGCUACUUCACAGGAAAAACCAAAGUUGCUGGAUGAGAGGUCUGCCCAUUCUCAUCACCCCAGACUUGCCACCUUCCUCUCCGGCCUGGGUACCGUCUCCAGGGCCCCAUCUACCCCUCCUCUACCCAGGCUCCAUCCAGUAGCCCAAGGGUCCCUCUGAGAACAUACAUCAGGGCUCUCUGAGAAAGAAGAGGAAUGCUAAAUCUAGGGGUCAUCAUUUCAAGAGUAGGGCAAUGUCAGGACAGCUCAAGGCCUUCCAUCCUCUGCCGUUCAAGGUCAUGGGAGUGCAGGCACAGCAGUGGGACUUCAGUCAUCUGCUGUGGGUGCUUCUACCCAAACCAGCAACCCCUGAAGAUGCCAAGGAUGCACCCCAUGAAAACCAGCCAGCCAGCCUGGAAGUUUUUAUCUUCUCACCCACCACCAAUACUGAUAAGCCGUACCACCAAGCUGUUAAGAUUGAACGCACCGUGCUAUGGAAGCAUUUAGUUGAGAUUGAAUGCCCCGCAGGCGGCAAGGACUCCCCACUGGAGAGACGCCCUGGUGGACCACAGUCUCAGAGCCCAGCUGUCCCACCCGGAAGAGAGGCCAGCCGGAGAGAUGAUUGAGGCUCUGCUGACGUCUCACCUCUGACUCACGCACGAAACCCCUCACAUGGCAGGACAGAUGGAAAAACACCAAGUUGGAGGGUGGCGUGCAGAUGGCCAGAUGGUUUUCAUCUAAGUGAUGAUAAAAUUUGGACCCAGGGUGCAGACGGAGACCGGGGGCUCUGAGGUGGUAAACGUGCUCCCUCCCGCCAGCCUCUCCUUGCUCACCCUCUUGGGUUCUCUCUCUUUAUGUCUUUGAAUCUGAGAUGUCCCUUUCAAGUUGAUUUCACGCUUGUUUUCUGUCUGAGCUUCUCACUCUCUCCUUCCGUGUCCUUUUCCUCUGCUUCUCCCUUCCCCCCACACU